GCUCGGUAUCUGACACUAAGGUAUCAAGAUGAUCUCCCAGACUCAGCUUCUCUGGCUCCUCGUGCUCUGCAUUCAGGACUCCAGUGGGCAGAUCGUGAUGACUCAGAGUCCAGAAUCCCUGGCGGUGUCUCCAGGAGACAGAGUCACCAUCAACUGCAAAGCCAGUUCCAAUAUUUAUAGCAGCAUAGCCUGGUAUCAACAGAAAACAGGACAAGCUCCUAAACUCCUUAUCUAUGGUGCUUCCACCCGUCCCUCUGGGAUCCCAGACCGGUUCAGCGGUAGUGGGUCGGGCACUGACUUCACAUUCACCAUCAACAGGGUAGAAGCGGAUGAUGCUGGAGAUUAUUACUGCCAGCAGCAUAGCAGCUACCCUCUCACACAGUGA